rnacentral:tRNA from 1 species
UGUCCACUCGGGUCAUUCUCAAGAAAUGCGGACUUGUUCGUAUUCGCAAUGCGAAGGUCGGGAGUUCGAUCCUCCUCCUCUCCACCA